rnacentral:rRNA from 1 species
CCUACGGGGUGCAGCAGUGAGGAAUAUUGGUCAAUGGACGCAAGUCUGAACCAGCCAUGCCGCGUGCAUGAAGACGGCUCUAUGAGUUGUAAACUGCUUUUGUACGAGGGUAAACGCAGAUACGCGUAUCUGUCUGAAAGUAUCGUACGAAUAAGGAUCGGCUAACUCCGUGCCAGCAGCCGCGGUAAUACGGAGGAUUCAAGCGUUAUCCGGAUUUAUUGGGUUUAAGGGGUGCGUAGGCGGUCGGAUAAGUUAGAGGUGAAAUCCCGAGGCUCAACUUCGGAAUUGCCUCUGAUACUGUGCGGCUAGAGAGUAGGUGCGGUAGGCGGAAUGUAUGGUGUAGCGGUGAAAUGCUUAGAGAUCAUACAGAACACCGAUGGCGAAGGCAGCUUACCGAGCUACUUCUGACGUUGAGGCACGAAAGCGUGGGGAGCAAACAGGAUUAGAUACCCGGGUAGUC